UCCUCCUUGGCCGCAACAUCGACGGAGACAGAAGUAGACGGAGGAGGCUCCUCCUCCUCCGCGGAUCCAUCGCUUCCUCCUUUUCUCUUGGAAAGCACGUCCUGGAGAUUCGAGACGAGCGCGGCCGACAAGCCGUUGUUCUUCGAGGUCAUCGUGUCGAAAGAGAGAACACGCAGAUGAGGUGGGUCCUGUCUUGAAGACGAAGAAGAAAGUUGGGAGAGGGAGAGAGAGCGGGUCUAACGGAGGAAAGAGAGAAGCUUUAAUUGGCAGAGAGAGAGAGAGAUUACCUGUGUCAACUGUUAUCUCUUUUUAGAUAGACAAGAGGAAGAACAGUGACCCGCUAUUUUUUUUCCAAACAGAAAACAUAAAUAUUAAUAAGUAUACAAUUUAAGUUAAUAAAAUAUUUAGCCAUAUAAAUACAUAAACCUCAUAAUUAAAAUAAAUUAUUUGGAAUAGUAUUUUUUACAAGUUAAUAUAAAAUUAUUCUUACUCGUAAACUCUUACUUAUGCAUAUAAAGACCUGGACCUUGAAAUUAAAAUAAAUUUAAUUUUUUUUUUCUGGUUAGGGUCAAAAGAAUGUAACAUGUUAUGAAUGGUCCACAUCUAAUAAUUACUCAGUUAUUAUGACAUGCAUUUAAAGAUAUUUGUGGAAAAUAAUUUGAACCGACAACAUCAUAGUAUCAUGUUGGUUGAUAAUUAAAACUGUUAAUUGUUGCUAGAUCAUAUGCUACUGGAAUUUUUUUUUUUUAUAUCAAAAUAGCCUUUUGAUUUAAUUAGUUUUAGUUGCACUAUGUUAUUUAUGCUUUAUUACUGAAUUGGGUACAAAUAAGCUGGUCUGAUAUUGACUGAAUCUUAGUGCAGCCGUCAACCCAAAGCUCAAGCCACUGGUAUCUGCCCAGACCUGGUUCAACAUGAGAAGUUUCCAACAAUGACUGGAGACUCAUACAGCCAGAGAGUUUGAUAGUCUCCAACAGAACUAGUUCCGGAAACGCUUUAAGUCUUCUGCAGUUACAAAGGCUGACGUGUUUCAGCCUCAGAAGUUGAUUCAUGGUCUCUGGUAAAGUCUCGAAAUCGUUGCCGUUCCAGUCCAGCUUCUCUAGGAGUUGUAAGGAGCUUACAUCAUCUGGGAUCACUUUAAUGUUUAAGUUGAAUAGAUUUAACUCUUUCAAGCAGGGGAACAUGUAAAGGCUAUGACAGAGGAAACUUGCAGCAGCAGCAUCACUCUUGUAGUUGAACCUGGUGAUCUCCAUGGCAUUAAAACCGUGGAACUCUGACCUAUUGGGUCGAUGCCUCUGCUGCUCUACUUUCUUUGUCCUCCGUUUAUGAUCGUAAAACAGAAGUGGUUGCUGGUCCAUCCUUAUCAGUACAUGAGGUGCUUGUUUCUCAGAACUAAAACAAAGGUGAUCCACGUUGCCGGCAAGCCCCACCAUCUGAAUUUGUAUGUUUCCUCCAAUGGAUAGAUAUGUAGUGGACCUCAUUUCCACUUCAUUACUUGAGAAAUACAAAACAAUCUGCCAAGAACGCCCAGUGAAUUCCUUUAUGGUGAUGUGGUAGUUACUAGUAAGCUCAUCACAGUCUGUGACAUCAAGCAUUGUCAGGCUAGUAAGGUUACUAAUGGACUCUGAAUCCUCUUGAGCCUCUUGCAGCCUUGAGUUAUCACUUCUUCCAAAUUCACCGCAUGCGAAAGAUCUGGAAGCUGUUCAAGAUUCUUAGACCCUGUCAAGUCUAGUCUUCUCAAGUGUAGUAACCACUGGGGAUAAGAUAAACCAACAAGGAAUAAGCAAAUUGUUAGUUAACAUGUGGUAGUAAUCACUGCGCACUUAUGAAGAGCGUUUACCUUGGUUCCUUUCAUCAAGCUUGUGAGAUUGCUGUAACGUAAACUGACUUCGACAAGACCUAGUGGAAGGAACCGGGGAGGAAAGUCUGUCAAAGGAAACGCAUCCCAGUGUAGUAACCUAAGCCUCACCGAAAGUAAAUAUGUAUCGUCACUCAUGAAAUGCAGCAUGGGAUCAACGUGGUCUGAGAGCCUGUGAACCUUGAGGAACUUGAGAUUAUUGUGGUCGUUUUUCGCAUACCCAUCGAGAUACAACUCUUCUGGCAUCUCGCACAUGUGUAGAGCCAUGCAUGCCACUGAUUGGUUGUCCUGUGGUGUUGACACUGAGAAAGUUAAGUUUGCAUUUAUACAACAGCAACAUAUGUUACAGAUGCUGUAGACUAGGCCUGCGGUUUAUAACCGAGCUCGCCGAACCAAAGGUAGGUUUAUUAAAAAAAAAUCUGGUUUUCGGUUCGGUAAUAAAUUAGUUCGGUUUUUCGAAAACUACUCGGUUCCUUCUUAUGUGGUAACUGGUAAGGACGAAGAGACUUGGGCUCGAUGCAUCACAAGGUAAUGAUGGUAUCCAAGAGGUGUGUAGCUACGUAGAAGCAUCUGAAUACCUUCAAAUUAAAUCAAAGCGAUACAUAGUAGCAGAUGAAGGAGAGUAUUCACCUUCAUAUCACAUGUUGCUUUGACAACAUCUCCAUAGCCCUCAAAGCGAUGCUUACAUAAGUAUUGUUCAGCGUUCAAUAAAACUAACAAGCAAAGACUUAUUGUCCCUAUGAUUAUGUAAAGAUUUGAUGGAAGCUAUGAAAAAAAGGUGGGUCACACUUGUAGGAUAUUGAAAAAUAAAUUCAAUGCAAUAUCAACAUGUUUCACAUUGGAAACCUCCCUACCUCCUUUAUUAAGCAAAACUCAAAGAUAGCUCUCUUCAUAUAUCUGAUCAAUAACAACAUGCUUCACAUUAGAAAUCUCACUACCUCCUUUAUGAGGCAAAACUCAAAGAUAGCUCAUGAUACAUAUCUCAGCUGAAGCAAUAGUGUCAUCCAGGGGAUCUGGGACCGUUCUUCUCGAUCAAAAGGUAUACAAAAACAAAGUUUCUACGAAUUUAGAAGAUAAUAAAAGUAGACCGACCCUUUUCAAUUACAAAGGCAAGUGUUCCAAAACAGCUACUGACAAACAAACAAGCCAACAGAAGCAAGCCACGAGGGAAAUCGAAUAAAUAGAAUAAACAAAAGGGUUAAAACGACACACACAUGCUGAAUCUAGUUACCAGAUUUGUUUGGCCAAAUCAUGUAACAUAAUUUACUAGAAGGACCUUUUUCAUUGAUCAGCAUUAAGGGCUUUGGAGAUCCAUUCUGAUGCUGCGGCUUGAGUUUCUGAAUCCAUCUUUGGAAGUAGCGACAAUGGAGUCACAGAAACCUGUCAUUACAAAAAAGAGUUCAGUAAAGUAGCUUAGAUUCCAGACCAGAGAAGAGCGUGUGAUCAUGCCAACUUACAAAACCAUCUUCUAGAGCCUUGAUAUCCAAAUCUUCAUCCGUAUGCUCUUCUUGUUCUUUACCCACAAACUGCAUAUUAACAUAGUCAGGACUCAGGAUCUCAAACACAAUGGUACAUACUAUCAAUAUCCAAAGGAUUUGUGAAGAGAACGUCUCAAAGUUCUUCUUUACCUCUAGGCGGAAGUAUUUCUUAACACGGCUAUCAGUUUUAGCAGCAACACCAACCGAUUCAAUCUCCACAAUACUCUUCUUCUGUGUGGUGAAACGACGAGCCGCUCCCUGAGAUCACCAGAUAUCUUAAUCUCAGUAUCUAAUUAACUACUUUUGGACCUUGUGAAAACAAAGUUGAGGUUUAUAACUUUUGAAUAGAAGGAAUUAACUCACAGCAGCUGAAGCAUCUCUGCCAAGCUGAGCAAGUUGAGCUCCUAGGCUUUGUUGGUUGGACAUGAAAUUCCCAGCACCAGGGUGACGGUUAGCUGAAACAGCUUGCCAGCUAGGAGUCUGCCUCCACAUGCUUUGUUUUGUUACCUUAAAACCCUAUUCAUAUAUGUACAUGAAACAUCAACUUCCCUAAACCAUUAGCCAGUGAGGUUCUAAUUUCACAAAACAAAGAACAUGGUAACCAAUGCAAGCAUAGAACUCGAACCAACAACCCGUUUCUGAGUCGAAAAUGCAAACCUUGUUUGAUGAGGGGGAUGUUGGAAUUUCUAUUCCGAGAGAGCAAUCUUUAGGGAAAACUCCUUUCUCAAUGUCUCUAAUUGUGGCGGUUAUCAAAGGUAAACAGACACCAACAGCAUCCUUAAAGUCACUUUCUUUGCUUUCAUCUUUCUUCCUGUAAUAAUAGAUAAGAAAAUAAGAAGUAUGACCAAAACGUCCCAUGAUAAAUAAUCACUAGUUCUAUGACAUAUAUCAGCACGCAUUCCCAUGAUAUACGCACCAGUUCAAUGAUAAACACAAAGAGGGUACUCCAGAAAUCAAGGCUUCCCUGGCUCCAGCCACUCCACCGGAAUAGAACCUGAAAGAUUCUCGCAUCAGGAAACACAAAGCAGAUGGACAGACAAGGAAUAACUAGUUAAGAAAAAAAGCACAUACAUUUGAUGCCCACAGCUUGAGCCCUGAUUGAUUCCACUAAUUAUCUGAAGAAAAUAAGGAAAAGGAUGCAUAACAUUAGAAGAUACCAUAACAUCAUAUAUGAUGGGGAGAUGAUUAAAAAAAAUGCUAAACCAGUAUUGGUUUUGACCAAGCGAAAAGCGCUCCGGAUAAUCCUAAUGAGAUGCAGUCCACAGGAGUCCCUGAGACAAAAACAACAAUAAUCUCAAAGCCUAUGAACAGAGACGGUACUCACACCAUGAUGCAAAAGACUAUUCCAACAACCAACAAAAAGACUUCAACUUUCAGCUUAUAGAUGUAAUGAUCAUUCACCUGAAACUUCAAAGGCUGUGGCACCUUUGAUACCAGCGGAACUCGCAGCAAUGGUUUCUGCAGGAGUCAUAGAAUGAGAAGAAGCCGAUUUAUCCCUGCCACAUUCACAAGCCUUGUGGGUCACUAAAAGUUUGAAACUUUAACAAGAAAAAAUGAACAAAUCAUAAAACGAAAUCUUGCUCACGUUUGAGGAGCACAGACAUGGACAUUGUAGAGCCCUUCCUUAACCAAAGCCUCGACGAGAGAGACGAGCCCAAUCGAAUCAAUCCCAUCCCCAUUCGUGACUAAAACGAUGGGUCUGGAGUCAUCGAUCUCCUCCUUGGCCGCAACAUCGACGGAGACAGAAGUAGACGGAGGAGGCUCCUCCUCCUCCGCGGAUCCAUCGCUUCCUCCUUUUCUCUUGGAAAGCACGUCCUGGAGAUUCGAGACGAGCGCGGCCGACAAGCCGUUGUUCUUCGAGGUCAUCGUGUCGAAAGAGAGAGCACGCAGAUGAGGUGGGUCCUGUCUUGAAGACGAAGAAGAAAGUUGGGAGAGAGAGAGAGAGCGGGUCUAACGGAGGAAAGAGAGAAGCUUUAAUUGGCAGAGA
rnacentral:lncRNA from 1 species